UUGGUCCUACGGGAGGCAGCAGUAGGGAAUCUUCCACAAUGGACGAAAGUCUGAUGGAGCAACGCCGCGUGAGUGAAGAAGGGUUUCGGCUCGUAAAGCUCUGUUGGUAGUGAAGAAAGAUAGAGGUAGUAACUGGCCUUUAUUUGACGGUAAUUACUUAGAAAGUCACGGCUAACUACGUGCCAGCAGCCGCGGUAAUACGUGGGUGGCAAGCGUUAUCCGGAUUUAUUGGGCGUAAAUGGAACGCCGGCGGUCUUUU
rnacentral:rRNA from 1 species